rnacentral:rRNA from 1 species
UACGUAGGGUGCGAGCGUUGUCCGGAAUUACUGGGCGUAAAGAGCUUGUAGGUGGUUUGUCGCGUUGUUCGUGAAAUCUCACGGCUUAACUGUGAGCGUGCGGGCGAUACGGGCAGACUAGAGUACUGCAGGGGAGACUGGAAUUCCUGGUGUAGCGGUGGAAUGCGCAGAUAUCAGGAGGAACACCGGUGGCGAAGGCGGGUCUCUGGGCAACAACUGACGCUGAGGAGCGAAAGCGUGGGGAGCGAACAGG